AUGGAAGCUAUGCAGUGGGAGACCCUUGGCCUGCAGCUGUUGGCAGUCUGGGCAGGUCUUUGCCAUGCUGUCACAGUGACCCAGAAGGAACGCUUCAAAACCAUCCAAGCAGGGAUCCAGACAAAUGUCACCUGCGAAUACGAUGACAGCACCUACAUCAGCGUCUUUUGGUAUCGGCAGGAGAGCAAUGACGGAGAGAAGCCACUGCAGCUUCUUGGAUACUCCAUCUCAGGAAGUGAACCGAGGAUGGAAAAGAAGGAAUACCAUAUAACUAGAAGAGCAGUGACUCAUUCUUCCCUUAUCAUCCCUCCAGAAGAGGCUGCCAAGCCUGCGGUGUAUUUCUGUGCAGUCAGUGAGGCACAGUGA